GACGAACCGUGCGAACGUUGUUCGGAUUCACUGGGCUUAAAGGGCGCGUAGGCGGCUUCGCAAGUCCGGGGUGAAAGCCCCCAGCCCAACUGGGGAAGUGCCUCGGAGACUGCGGAGCUCGAGCGGGAUAGGGGCAGCUGGAACUUUCGGUGGAGCGGUGAAAUGCGUAGAUAUCGGAAGGAACGCCGGUGGCGAAAGCGAGCUGCUGGAUCCCUCCUGACGCUGAGGCGCGAAAGCCAGGGGAGCGAACGGG
rnacentral:rRNA from 1 species